CCUACGGGUGGCAGCAGUGAGGAAUAUUGGUCAAUGGGCGCGAGCCUGAACCAGCCAAGUAGCGUGAAGGAUGACUGCCCUACGGGUUGUAAACUUCUUUUAUAAAGGAAUAAAGUGAGGCACGUGUGCCUUUUUGUAUGUACUUUAUGAAUAAGGAUCGGCUAACUCCGUGGCAGCAGCCGCGGUAAUACGGAGGAUGCGAGCGUUAUCCGGAUUUAUUGGGUUUAAAGGGAGCGUAGAUUGGGUGUUAAGUCAGUUGUGAAAGUUUGCGGCUCAAACGUAAAAUUGCAAUUGAUACUGGCAGUCUUGAGUACAGUUGAGGUAGGCGGAAAUCGGGGGGUAGCGGUGAAAUGCUUAGAUAUCACGAAGAACUCCGAUUGCGAAGGCAGAUUACUAAACUGCCAAUGAAAUUGAUGCUCGAAAGUGUGGGUAUCAAACAGGAUUAGAUACCCCUGGUAGUC
rnacentral:rRNA from 1 species